UACAGAGGGUGCGAGCGUUAAUCGGAAUUAUUGGGCGUAAAGAGCUCGUAGGCGGUUUGCCGCGUCUGCCGUGAAAGUCCGGGGCUCAACUCCGGAUCUGCGGUGGGUACGGGCAGACUAGAGUGAUGUAGGGGAGACUGGAAUUCCUGGUGUAGCGGUGAAAUGCGCAGAUAUCAGGAGGAACACCGAUGGCGAAGGCAGGUCUCUGGGCAUUAACUGACGCUGAGGAGCGAAAGCAUGGGGAGCGAACAGG
rnacentral:rRNA from 1 species